UACGGGGGGGGCAAGCGUUGUUCGGAAUUACUGGGCGUAAAGGGCUCGUAGGCGGCCAACUAAGUCAGACGUGAAAUCCCCAGGCUCAACCUGGGAACUGCGUCUGAUACUGGAUGGCUUGAAUCCGGGAGAGGGAUGCAGAAUUCCAGGUGUAGCGGUGAAAUGCGUAGAUAUCUGGAGGAAUACCGGUGGCGAAGGCGGCAUCCUGGACCGGCAUUGACGCUGAGGAGCGAAAGCCAGGGGAGCAACCGGG
rnacentral:rRNA from 1 species